rnacentral:tRNA from 1 species
GGAUUGUGACUCAGCGGUAGAGCGCUCACCUAGUAUGUGCGAGGUUCUGGGUUCGAUCCCUCAGCAUCA